UACAGAGGGUGCGAGCGUUAAUCGGAAUUACUGGGCGUAAAGCGCGCGUAGGCGGCUUUGCAAGUCGAUUGUGAAAUCCCCAGGCUUAACCUGGGAACUGCAUUCGAGACUGCAUAGCUAGGGUGCGGAAGAGGGAAGCGGAAUUUCCGGUGUAGCGGUGAAAUGCGUAGAUAUCGGAAGGAACACCAGUGGCGAAAGCGGCUUCCUGGUCCAGCACCGACGUUCAGGCACGAAAGCGUGGGGAGCAAACAGG
rnacentral:rRNA from 1 species